UACGGAGGGUGCAAGCGUUAUCCGGAUUCACUGGGUUUAAAGGGUGCGUAGGUGGGUUGGUAAGUCAGUGGUGAAAUCUCCAGGCUUAACUUGGAAACUGCCAUUGAUACUAUCAAUCUUGAAUACCGUGGAGGUCAGCGGAAUAUGUCAUGUAGCGGUGAAAUGCUUAGAUAUGACAUAGAACACCAAUUGCGUAGGCAGCCCACUACGGAAAUAUUGACGCUGAGGCACGAAAGCGUGAGGAUCAAACAGG
rnacentral:rRNA from 1 species